GGCAGCGAUAUCUGCCCCCUGGCUGGCGUUGCUGGGGUAAUGGCGAGCGUGUGGGGCCAAGGAAGAAUGGAACAACACGAAAGGAAUUGAUCCGCACAGUCAACGGCUUUCAUGUGGGCAUUGUAUUCCUUGCUGCAGAAAUAGCUGUCACAGAAGUGGACAGAUGCUGCCUGUAAUUAAAGCAGAACCCAGAGAGAAGGGCAUGGGCUUUGGAGUUCAACAGACACUGGGUCAUCCAGUGUUACCCCUCUUGGGGCCCUUUACAAAUCUCUCUAACCUGGAUCUAGUUCCUCAUUGAAGAGUUCCCCCUGAAAAAUGGCAGAAGCUGUUUUCCACGCCCCAAAAAGGAAAAAGAAGAGUGUAUGGAAUUAUGAGUCUCCAUGGCCAAUCCCUUUUGAUCAGGACCAAAGUCCUAGGAAAGAAUUCAGAAUAUUCCAUGUCGAAAUGAUUAACAACAAUGUGAUUGUGAAGAAUGCAGAGGACAUCGAACAGCUCUAUGGGAAAGGUUAUUUUGGAAAAGGUAUUCUUUCAAGAAGCUGUCCAAACUUCACAAUUUCAGAUCCUAAGCUGGUUGCUAAAUGGAAAGAUACGAAGACAAACGUGCCUAUCAUCACGUCAGAGAAGUAUCAGCAUCGUGUAGAAUGGGCAGCAAAGCUCAUGCGUAGACAGGGGCAGAAUGAGAGUACAGUGCACAGAAUCCUUGAGGAUUACAUAAAACCACUUGAGUAUCCUCAUAUAAAUAGAAAUGAAGAGGUUCAAUUGCCUGAUGAGCUCAACUCUGAAAUGGUUUCCACCAUGGAAGGCACAGCAGGGAGAGAGAAACUUUGUGUGAUGAAUGGAGACUCUGGACAGUCAGAUGCUAUAGAGGAUCUGAGUGAGCCAUCAGACUGCCCACAGGAGGGCUCUGGGCGGGACCUGCCAACGACAGGCAGCUACCAUGACCGCAUGGCAGACGAUGCUGCACCUCCACCCCAAGUCUGUUGCUGCAAGGCAGGUGCUGUCAUCCUCCAGCGUGGCCCUCACCCUGAGCAUGGUGGCAAACACGCGUGUGUCCUCUGUGCGGGGGAGAGAGGGCCUAACCACGAGUAUGUGCUUGUGGAGGAAGUGGUGUGUGACAGGAACGAGAGUGAGGAUGCCCCAAAUGAGGAAUUGGUAUAAAGACAGAAACUAAUAUGCAAAAGAAAUCCAUAUAGGAUCUUUGAGUAUUUGCAACUCAGCCUAGAAGAGGCCUUCUUCCUGGUCUAUGCCUUGGGAUGUCUAAGUAUCUACUAUGAAAAGGAGCCUUUAACGAUAGUGAAGCUCUGGAAAGCUUUCUCUAUAGUUUAGCCCAUGUUCAGGAUGACCUACAUGGCCUACCACUACUUCCGAAGCAAGGGCUGGGUGCCCAAAGUGGGACUCAAGUAUAGGACAGAUUUAUUGCUGUGUCGGAAAGGCCUUCCAUUUUACCAUGCAAAUUAUUCUGUUAUUAUUGAGCUAGUUGAUGACCAUUUUGAAGGCUCUCUCCACAGACCUUUCAGUUGGAAGUCACUGGCUGCCUUGAGCAGAGUUUCAGUUAAUGUCUCUAAGGAACUUAUGCUGUGCUAUUUGAUUAAACCCUCUACCAUAACUGACAAAAAUGGAGUCGCCAGAAUGUAUGAAAAGAAUUAAAGUUCAGGAGGUGAUUCUAAGUCGAUGUGUUUCUUCACGAGAGGAGUGACCAAGAUGAACUUUGAAAGUUUAACUUCAGAUUUCUAGUUUCACCAGCAACUACUACAUCUCCUACAACAUGCCACAUUCAGGACUAGGUAAAAAGUAGUUUUACUGUAAUCACCCAUUAACUUAAAAGUUUUAAAAGGCAUCUUGCU